rnacentral:rRNA from 1 species
AACUUUCAACAACGGAUCUCUUGGUUCCC